CCUAUGCGGUUUUCGCUGGCUAAUGUGGAGAUUCGAUCAUAGACGUCCAACGAUUUGUAGACUCGACCAAGACAUUGGCUUGUCUUCUUAUUGGCUUUGGUAGAUUGUUUUUUAAACUCUACUCUGCUAUGUUUCAUCAACGACAGUUGAGAUUAGGAAGUGGUAGAGUUAUGGGGGUCUCUGUCAAGGCAGUGGAUUGACCCAGUUUUUGAAUCUAUCGUCAAGGGUACAUACGUUUCACCUA
rnacentral:sRNA from 1 species